rnacentral:lncRNA from 1 species
UCUGAAAUGUUUUCCUCUGCAACCUGCUGUGUUCAGGAGGCCAAAAGAGCGCCAGAACCUCCCACCCAGGGCAGGCAGGGGCCAGGCCAAAGAUAUACAAGUUUUCAGAGGAUUCAGCUCAUGGUUGGUUGGCUCCAAGGCAGAAAUGACAUGGCAGGACAUGGUGGAGGAGAGCUGCUCACCUCAGGGCAGCCAGGAAGCAGAGAGAGAAGGAAGGAGCCAGAGAUAAGAAUACAUUCUUCCAGCUCCUGGAUCCUGGCAUGAGAAAGAAAGAUCAAAUCUACAGAGACACAGUGAAAGUGAGUAAUUCCAGAGGCCUCCAGGAAGAAACAGAAGAGUGGAACAGAGCACUGUGUCCUGUGAGGUACCACAGCUGGUGACUGACUCCGGUCCAAGCAACUGCAGUGUCCCCUGGAGACAGUGCUUGGUUGGAUGCCAUUUUAGGGAGGGGCCAACUGAACCCAGAACUUGUGGCAGCUGUGAUUGGCUUCAUCUCAGGGCUCCCAGUGUUAAAAACCCACAGUGACUGUGUGAGGGACCACCAUGGGAGACAUCCAGUGUGUUAUAAGUGGUCAAGCCAGCAAGAGACAUCCAGAAUGUUAUAAUCUAAACAACUCAGACCCUAACCCCAUGACCAGAGGCCAGGAUCAGCCUGAACUUCUGUGGAUUUCAAAGCGCCAGAACCAGCACCUUGUGUUAAUCCUACUGCAGGCUUGCUGGGGUUAUCCUAUAUGGCUCUGGGCUCUGACUGCCUCCUUUGUCUGCAAGCAAGAACAGAGUGAUGCCCUGAAUUGGACACUGCCACAAAACUGUAGAUCCCAGAAGACAACCAUAGGUUUGAAAUCACAGAGAAAUUUCUUUUUUUUUUUCCUCCUUCACUUUGGUUUUUGUUCUUUUCUUCAUUUGGGUGUUGUUGUUUUCAUGAGUGUGAACGUUGCUUUUAGCUUUUUGUUUUGUUUUGUUGUUGUUUCUUCUUUCUUUCCUUCUUGUUUUCUUCACCAGUUUCCCAAGGCUUGGGUAAUUUUCCUUUGUCCUUCAGCCUUGCUUCUAAUCUCUUUCUCUUCUUCAAUUUCUCUAUUUUUUCCUCUUAUUCCUUUGAAAUUUUCUUCCCUGAGAGUAAAAUUGCUCUAUUGAGGGGAUAUUUACUCUAUAUAAUUUUAUGAUUUGUCUUAGAUUUUGUUAUAUAACUGUAUAUCUU